AUGGACACCAACUGGGGCGUUGGCGUCGGCGUUGACCUGAACGCCCCGCCGCCCACCGGCGGCGACGACUGGCGCGCCCAGCUCCUGCCCGAGGCGCGCAGCAGGGUCGUCAACAAGAUAAUGGAAUGUCUGAAGAAGCAUCUGCCGGUAUCAGUGCCAGAGGGACUGAACGAACUUCAAAUCAUCGCGGUGCGGUUCGAAGAUAAGAUCUAUACUGCAGCGACCAGCCAGUCUGAUUAUUUGCGGAAGAUCUCUCUGAAAAUGCUAUCUAUGGAGACGAAGGCACAACAGGCUCCUGGAAAUGCUCAAGUGAUUCCAAAUCUAAACAACCCCGGUCAAGCAUCAUGUUUAAGAAUGCCCGACGGAACCCCCUGGCGGCCCAUCCAGGGUUCAGACCCCGCUGCAGUCGCCGCUGCUGCCGGCGUUGAUCCGAACGCCCCGCCCCUCACCGGAGGUGAUUGGCGCCCCCAGCUUCAGCCUGAGGCGCGCAGCAGGAUCGUCAAUAAGAUAACGGAAUGUCUAAAGAAGCAUCUGCCAGUAUCAGUGCCAGAGGGACUGAACGAACUUCAAAAAUUCGCUGUGCGAAGCGAAGAGAAGAUCUAUACAGCAGCGACCAGCCAGGCUGAUUAUUUGCGGAAGAUUUCUCUGAAAAUACUAUCUAUGGAGAAGAACACAUAA
rnacentral:rRNA from 1 species